CGCAGGGUAGGGAAGAGGACAUCCCGCGUGGCUCAUACCCACGAGAUCGCAGGUUCAAAUCCUGCCCCUGCAACCA
rnacentral:tRNA from 1 species